rnacentral:ncRNA from 1 species
CUUAAUUUUGUUCUCAUUCACAUUGGUCCUAUUUAUAUUAUUAAGGGAGAAGCAACCCGAAUGUUGCACCCUAGAUGAUGAAAGUUCAGUAGUCAAAAGCAUCACUAUCUUAGGCUCUAAUUAGAGUAACAUGAGGCACGUGAAAUUUCGUGUGAAUCAGCAAGGACCAUCUUGCAAG